rnacentral:rRNA from 1 species
UACAGAGGGUGCAAGCGUUAAUCGGAAUUACUGGGCGUAAAGCGUGCGUAGACGGCUAUGUAAGUCGGGUGUGAAAGCCCCGGGCUCAACCUGGGAAUUGCAUUCGAGACUGCAUAGCUAGGGUGCGGAAGAGGGAAGCGGAAUUUCCGGUGUAGCGGUGAAAUGCGUAGAUAUCGGAAGGAACACCAGUGGCGAAAGCGGCUUCCUGGUCCAGCACCGACGUUCAGGCACGAAAGCGUGGGGAGCAAACAGG